ACAGAGGGUGCGAACGUUGCUCGGAAUUACUGGGCGUAAAGCGCGUGUAGGCGGACCGGUAAGUCAGAUGUGAAAUCCCUGGGCUCAACCCAGGAACUGCAUUUGAAACUGCUGGUCUAGAGUAUCGGAGAGGGUGGCGGAAUUCCUGGUGUAGAGGUGAAAUUCGUAGAUAUCAGGAGGAACACCGGUGGCGAAGGCGGCCACCUGGACGGUCACUGACGCUGAGACGCGAAAGCGUGGGGAGCAAACAGG
rnacentral:rRNA from 1 species